rnacentral:rRNA from 1 species
GAUGAACGCUGGCGGCGUGCCUAAUACAUGCAAGUCGAACGCUCGGACGAGAAGCUUGCUUCUCUGAUGUUAGCUGCGGACGGGUGAGUAACACGUGGAUAACCUACCUAUAAGCCUGGGAUAACUUCGGGAAACCGUAGCUAAUACCGGAUAAUAUUUUGAACCACAUGGUUUAAAAGUGAAAGACGGACUUGCUGUCACUUAUAGAUGAAUCCGCGCUGCAUUAGCUAUUUGGUAAGGUAACGGCUUACCAAGGCAACGAUGCAUAGCCGACUUGGGAGGGGGACCGCCCAAACGGGAACGGGGACCCGGUCCAGACUCCUAGGGGAGGCAGCAGUAGGGAAUCUUCCGCAAUGGGGGAAAGCCUGACGGAGCAACGCCGCGUGAGUGAUGAAGUUCUUCGGAUCGUAAGACUCUGUUAUUAGGGAAGAACAGAUGUGGAGGUAACUGUGCACAUCGUGACGGUACCUAAUCAGAAAGCCACGGCUAACUACGUG